GGGGAUUUAGCACAGUGGUGUAAGCACCUGCCUGGCAAGCGUGAGGUCAUGAGUUCAAUCCCCAGUAUCUCCA
rnacentral:tRNA from 1 species